GAAAUAAUAUUGAGUAUAUAACUGUAGCUUUCUUAUUUGUUACUAAUUUAAGAGACUCAAAAUAUAUGUACAUUUCAAUUUGGAAUAGUUUAAAACAUGGUCUUGAUUUGGAAAAUUUUGAUUUAUGAAUAUGACACUUACCUAAUAAAAUAAAAAGAUUAACAAUAUUACAUAAAUGUAUAUCUUUAUUCAAAAUAUGUAAUAAUAAGUUCCCCUUCAAGUGUGAUUGUAUGUGUUGUUUUAGAUACCAUAUAAAUUCCAAAACUUUUCCAGAAUGUAAUACAAAAUAAACAACCAUAAAAGAGAUGAGUUAACGAUUCUUGUUCUGUCAUACAAAAACUACAAUAAUUGUCAACUGGCAUGACUUUUGAGAUAAACAGGUUUGUAGGAUAUG